rnacentral:rRNA from 1 species
UACGAGGGGGGCGAGCGUUGUUCGGAAUUAUUGGGCGUAAAGGGUGCGUAGGCGGUUUGGUAAGUCUUAUGUGAAAUCUAUGGGCUCAACUCAUAGUCUGCAUGAGAAACUGCCGGGCUUGAGUAUGGGAGAGGUGAGUGGAAUUCCUGGUGUAGCGGUGAAAUGCGUAGAUAUCAGGAGGAACACCUGUGGCGAAAGCGGCUCACUGGACCAUAACUGACGCUGAUGCACGAAAGCUGGGGGAGCAAACAGG